UGCCAGCAUACAGUUUUCUAACCACUUUUGUUUGUUUCAAGUUUUUUGGUCAUGAUAAUAACAUCUUCAGACUGGACCGUGGAAGUCAACCAAUCAACAAUCAACAUUGAAACAAGACGUCCCCGAUAGCAGACAGGACGUCCCUGACGCUGCGGCCCACCUGUGUGGAAGGCAACUUGGACAAUCUUGCGUCCUCUUUUCCUGCAGUUGACAGCGGUCUUGGAUGGCCCCAAUUCAGAUACGCAGGCUGAAGUCCUUCGCAGACACUAAGCAAUUUACUGCUGUGGAUGAGGGUUCAGCCAAAGCAACGACUCUACACACAUUUAAACUGGUGGGGCUUUGGAGGCCAGCGUCU